rnacentral:rRNA from 1 species
GGGUUCGAUUCCGGAGAGGGAGCCUGAGAAACGGCUACCNNNNNNNNNGAAGGCAGCAGGCGCGCAAAUUACCCAAUCCCGACACGGGGAGGUAGUGACAAUAAAUAACAAUACGGGGCUCUUUCGGGUCUCGUAAUUGGAAUGAGUACAAUUUAAAUCCCUUAACGAGGAACAAUUGGAGGGCAAGUCUGGUGCCAGCAGCCGCGGUAAUUCCAGCUCCAAUAGCGUAUAUUAAAGUUGUUGCAGUUAAAAAGCUCGUAGUUGAAUUUCGGGAUUGACACAUCGGUCGUGCCUUAAGGGGUAUGAACUGGUGUAGUCAAUUUCUCACCUUCUGGAGAACCGCAAUGCCCUUAAUUGGGUGUCGCGGGGAACCAGGACCUUUACUUUGAAAAAAUUAGAGUGUUUAAAGCAGGCAUUUUGCUUGAAUACAUUAGCAUGGAAUAAUAAAAUAGGACGGCAUGAUUCUAUUUUGUUGGUUUCUAGGAUCACCGUAAUGAUUAAUAGGGAUAGUUGGGGGCAUUAGUAUUCAAUUGUCAGAGGUGAAAUUCUUGGAUUUAUUGAAGACUAACUACUGCGAAAGCAUUUGCCAAGGAUGUUUUCAUUAAUCAAGAACGAAAGUUAGGGGAUCGAAGACGAUCAGAUACCGUCGUAGUCUUAACCAUAAACUAUGCCGACUAGGAAUCAGACGAUGUUAAUUUUUUAAUGACUCGUUUGGCACCU